AGGGGCCGGGGCUGAGCAGCCGGGGCGGGCGCACCCCCGGCUCCUGCACGGCCCGCGGGUCGCAGCUCCUCGGGGGUCUCGUUCUGCCGUCAGCCGUAGUUUUCGGGACGGGAGUCGUGGCUAGGGGCGCGGGCGGGUUCAGGGGCGCCCCGCGUCCCGGGGCGAGCGGGCGGCUCCCAGUGUGAGGGGCAGGCGGGGAAAUGGAGAUGCGGGCCGUGAGGCUCGGGGCGGGGUGACGGCCGAGCCCGGCCUCUGCGCUUGCCCCCAGCGGAAGCGGAGGGGAGGGGAGAAGGCCGCCCGGGCCAAGGGUCCCGCUCCCCGGUUUGGGCCGGUGACCUCGCCCGGUUGGAAACCAGCACCCGAGGCGGAGGGGACGGUGCAGGCCUCGCGGUUGCAUUUCCUAUUCCGCCUCGGCCGCUGCCCCGGGUCAGUCUGGCUGCCAAAGCCGAGUACGGGGUUUCCUGACAAGUCUUGGAUAAUCACUGCUUCGGAACUGCUAGGGCUUGAUUAACUUAUAUUUUUGGCGAAAACGUGGAAAUUAGUCUUUUAAUCCUUUCUCCCCCCUGCUAAUGAGAAGUAUUAUUGAAUCCUUUUAGCCACCCUCCCUUCUCACUUACUGAGCAUCUGUAGAAUUGGAAUUGAGUUUUUUCAAAACUUGUCCGUCAAAUGCUUUCGCACCUGACCUUCGCCGCCUUUUCCUUUUGUUUGGUGGGUUCUCUGCCUCCUUUGUCUCUUCUGGACUGUUUUCCCCUAAGAAUUGGGUUGGUGAUGGAUUGCUAAAAGCCAAGUUCUCUGUACUCCGAAGCUUUCUUCAGGGAGUUGGAAGAUAAUAACAUGAAGAAUGCAUUGUAAUAUAUGAAUGCAAGGUGUACCUAAUAUCAUGGUAACAUCCCAAAAUAACACUUUUAGAUGUCUCUAGGCAAGAGAAAACCUUCGAACUUUUAUUUGGCUAAUUUUUUAGGAAAGGUUUGUGAAGAAUUAGAAUCGUGUUUUUCUGGUCUGUCAUUUUUCUGUUUAUAGUUAUAUGCAAUUAUUAGAGAAUAUUCAUUCUGAAUACUUCGUUAUGUUUGACCAAUCCAGGAAUAAUCCUGUGUCUGUCUUUGAAAAGCUGGAAGACUGUUGGAUGCCUAAAUGAAUAGGCCCUACCCACUGCAGGUUUUGUGCUUUUUUUUUUUUUUUUUUAAGUGCCUAAUUGGGAUUCCAAGCUGAGCUUAGUAGUUUGUGGUGGAUUUUGCCUGUUGGAAUGGGUAGUGUUGCUGCCAGCGUGUUUUAAGAGCCGGUUAGUUCCACCGUUUUUCUAUGGUUGUUGCUGGUCUUUCAGAUUUGCUCACAAUUGAGGUCAGUUAAGCAUGCACGAGUGAGUGCAAAUCCACCAUCAUGCAGGCUUCCACAAGCCUCGUUCACAUCACUUUGUAUCAAAGAUGGUGAAAGUGUUUUUAUAUAACAAGUUAAGAUAAUGAGCUUUGUUUAAAUUUUCAUUCGGAUUGUGAACUCUUUGAUGAAUGGUAGAUGCAUACUUAACUAGAAAUCAGACCUGUUUCUGCUGUCAUUUUGUAGCUGUGAUAACUUUAAUCUCUGUGAGCCUUCCUAAGUUUUCUGAGAUGUUCUUUGAUAAUUAUAUCAAUUCAGGACAAUCACAUUAUUACCAUCAUUGAUAGGAGUAGUGAUGACAGGAUGAUUUUGAUAAUGAGAAAUCAUAUAUCCUUAUUUUUAGUGUUACCAGGAAUUAGAUGAUUAAAAAUUAGAAGAAGAGAAAACCAAAGUUAGCACUCAGAAUUAACUUUUGAAUGUCUGGAGUUAAUUAAUUUUCUUAAAAUUUACUUUAGUGCCUGAGACUUAAGAACCUAAAAAAAGGCAAGUACUUUCAGUGUUAGGAACUUGUUACUUUUAAAGAAGUGUAAGGAAGUGCUGGAGUUGCUGUGUUGCUUAGUGCUGCCAUUGUUUGUAUGAGUUGUUAAGUCUAAGCUCAUAAUCACAAAUAUUGAUAGUUAUCUUAAUCAAGAAGAUACAAAACGAUUUGGUAUAAAGGAGUAAAAUCUUCAUUCUGUGUGUAAAAGAAAUGGAAUAUUCCACACAAUUGAAUUUUCUGAGGAACUAAAGGUUAUCUCUAAAGAGCACAGCUUUUGGAUAAUGCCUUUCUAAAUGCUGUCACAACUUCUUUAACAAACUAAGAAACAUAAUUUACUUGAUAACCAAGUUUUCACAUAGUGAAGAUUAACUAUUGUGUUAUGCUGUAACAUGGUGAAGCCAUGAAGACCCCGCCAGCUUUGUAGGAACUUUUGCCCCCUUUACUCUCAGGCUGCUAUGCUUUUUGAGCUCUUCAGUUUACUCUUCAUAUUUUUUCCCUCUAUCUUACUUUACUGUUAGGCUGGCAACAUUUACUUUUCUCUGCUUUCAGCAUGUGUAGGCAGCCUCUCACCACAUAAUUUGCACAUAGUUCACUAUGGACUUGGAAAUAAAUUCACGAGUCUUGUUAGACAUAGUAGAUUAAAACAAUAAGAGUAACUAGUUCCACAGCUGUUUGUGCUUCCCAGAGGUUUUUUUCUUCCCAUUUUUUGUUCUACACAGUAAGAAUUUAUGAAUAGAAAUAUAUACUUUAGUGAUGUAUACCAGAUGAUUCUCAGCAUCAUAUGUUUAAAAACUUGCUUUACAUCCCAGAUACUUUUCCUCAUUUCUCUUUAUCAGAAUUUUGUGAUUUCAGAUUCAGAGAAGGUUUUAUACUUGAUUUUAAAAUUCUGAACUAAAAUUCAGAUUGCCUCUUGGAUUUGCUUAAUCUUUGAUUUGCUCUUUGAGAGUUCUUGCUUAUAGCUGUGUUAGAGUUCUGUAGACAAAGGACUUUCUAUUCACUACAGUAGUGAGCAUAGGAUCAAUAUUUGCAAAUGCUGUUACACUUGGGAGCUGUGUUGUAGGCAGUUUAAACCAGCGUUAAGCAUCCUGGCCAAAAGAAAAUAUAAGUGAAAUUAGACAUAUUUUAGCAUGUAGAGAUGACAAUAGUGUGACAUUGGUUUUUAAAGACCACUGGUAGAUGUUCACAUGCGUGAUACACUGCAAUUACCUCUGUCUUCCCUCCCAUGGUACCUGAUUGGAGACUCUUACUGGAGUAAUAGUUUCAGUUUCAGUUAUUUAAACCCAGUGACUAUUGUGAUCAGUUAUGGGCAGUAAAAAGGUAAACACAGAACCUGUCUAUAAGUAGCUUGUUCUCGUGUUGGAGAGUAACUAAUAAGAAUUAGUAUGAGAAAGCAUUAAGUCCCCUAAGAGGUGCACUUAUAUGAGUUCAGUCAGGGAAUCAGGAAAACCUUCGUAAAGAAGGAGAUAUUUAGCUGGCUUUAAAAAAAUAUUGGCAAGGUUUGAAUGGAGGAAUGAUUUUUUAGGCAGAGAGCAGUCAGUGUAAGUCAAUGCUAAGUCAAGGAUGUAUGUAGGGAAUGGGGAGUGGUUUGUUUUGCUUGAAACAGAAGCUUUGGAGAGAGAUUCUAGGCUAAGAAAUGUGAAAAUUAUCUUCAAGGCAGUGAGAGAGGACUUUGAGCAGGAGAGUGAUAUAAUUAGCCACAUUUCAAGAGAAGGUAUCUUUUGACAGUUUUUUUUUUUGUUUUUUUUUGAGAUGGAGUCUCACUCUGUUGCCCAGGCUGGAGUACAGUGAUGUGAUCUCGGCUCACCGCAACCUCUGCUUCCCAGGUUCAAGCAGUUCUCCUGUCUCAGCCUCCCGGGUAGCUGGGAUUACAGGUGCCUGCCACCAUGCCCAGCUAAUAUUUGUAUUUUUAGUAGAGAUGGGGUUUCACCAUAUUGAUCAGGCUGGUCUCGAACUCCUAACCUCAGGUGAUCCACCCGCCUAGGCCUCCCAAAGUGCUGGGAUUAUAGGCAUGAGCCACCGCGCCUGGCUGACAGUUUUUAAUGAGAUGCAUUAGAGGGGCAGAGUCAUUUAAAGAAACAUUCUUCAUAAAACAGCCAUUUUUAUUAUGUUGCUGUAAGAUACUUGCCAUUGAAAUGAACUGAUUUAAAAUUUUUCUGGUUAAUUUCUCAUGUUUCUAGGUAAGUAGUUUUGAAAAGGCACUUUAAUAUUAGUUAUUAGAUACUUUGUACUCCUGAUCACAUUUGUGUGUGUGUGUGUGUGUGUGUAUUUGUAGUUUUUUUUUUUUUUUUUUUUUAAUAACAACAAUACUUUUUAUUUCUGAGACAGAGCUCUCUGUUACCCAGGCUGGAGUGCGGUGGUUCAAUCUCAGCUCACUACAACCUCUGCCUCCCCGGUUCAAGUAAUUCUCCUGCCUCAGGCUCCCAAGUGGUUGGAAUUACAGGUGCUCACCACCACGCCCGGCUAAUUUUUUUGUAUGUUUAGUAGCGAUGGGGUUUCACCAUGUUGGCCAGGCUGGUUUUGAACUCCUGACCUCAGGUGAUCUGCCUGCCUCAGCCUCCCAAAGUGCUGGGAUUACAGGCGAGAGCCACCGCACCCAGCCCAUAACAGAACUUUAAAAUGCAGUAGGAUUUGAUAGGGUGUAGAGGAUUUUUUGUUUGUUUGUUUUUGAGACAGGGUCUCGGUCUCUUACCCAGGCUGGAGUGCAGUUGUGUGAUCACAGCUCACUGUAGCCUCAACCUUCCAGGCUCAAAUGAUCCUCCCACUUCAGCUUCCCAAGUUAGCUGGAACUACAGGAGGCAUGUAGUUUGGGUAUUUUUUGUAGAAAUGGGGUUUUGCCAUGUUGUCCAGGCUGGUCUCAAACUCCUGGGCUCAAGCAGUUCUUCUGCCUCGUCCUCCCAAAGUGUUAGGAUUACAGGCGUGAGCCACCUUGCCCAGCCAGGGUAUAGAGUUUAGUUUGUCACUAGGAAGGUAUAUCAAAAUAUUAAUAAAUUUUGGCUCUAUUCCCUUCCAAGUCUAAAUUGCUCUGUAAUCGGGGUUGGGGAGUGGGCAUUAAUUUUUCAGCAUACCAUUGUUACUGGCCGUGGAAACACCAUGUAGGUGUAACAAUUCAUAUAUAGAAAUUUCAUUCAGCCUCUUCAGGUGCUUUGUCUAAUAUAUUUGGGUGUUGUCCAAAUGAGUUAUUCUGUUUUUGAUGAUUGCAACUCUGGUGGUAUGUGUAGGGUGCUGAAGGAAGAGAACGUCAGUAUCGCUGAUGGUUCUGUCCCCCAGCCCCACAUCCACAUAUCUACACGUACUAGCACUUUGGUGCAAUUAAAUAUUAAAAACCAUUUUGGUUGGUUACCUGUUUUUAUGUAGGAGAACGUCAAGUGCCAGGUGGGUGGCAGAUGCUAGUGUCAUACAGAACUUGGAUUCUGAAGAUGGUUUUAUAGUCUUAGUGAUUUUGGAUGUGAAUAUGUAUUCUUAUCCUGCUUAGGUCAUUUGUAGGUGAGUUUGAAGUUACAGUGGGUACUCUUACCUGUUACAUUUACAACUCAUGUUGGUGAAUAUUCAUUCACAUACAAGUUUCGUGGUUAAAGUUACUUGAUGUACAUGAUAGAUGGACCAGCUUUUCUAGUGUGAAAAAGAGAAGCUUAGUUUUUAUGGCUUUAAUGUGCUUUGCUUGUGAAUAUUGUGUAUUCAUCAGAUAGGUUGUAGUAGAAUUUAAUUUUGAGCUGGUAAUUUUGGAAAAAUAUUAAAAUUUUAGGAUCAUUAAUAUAUACUGUGCCCAGAUAUGACUGAUAAAUUCUAUCAAUUAAUGACUUCACCCAUGUUUUAAAACAAAGCUUAUUAUGUUUGUGCUAUUAUAUAUUCUUUUAGCAGUGUGGAAGCAGUCUUUUAUAAUAGUUGGGUAUAGAGGAACUAGUGGGCCUGCAGAUUUUUUAUUAGCUUUAGUUAGCUCUUGUCAUAUUUGCUCCAAGUGGUGCCUUUGAAGGUAGUUGCUGUCAGCUCUUUGGACUCGGCCACAUCUUUAAAUUACUGGGCCCUUUAUUUUAGGCCUCAGUGCUUGCUUUACGGCCAUAGUCCAGUGGGUCAUGCUUAGUGUGAAAGGUUAUAUAUAGAAGCUGUGCAACACUCCAAUUUGCUUGCUGAGAUUUUGCUUUCAAAAGUCUGCAGUCUACUUUUGUCAGCUGGGAAUGUAACUGUCUUCCUCUGCUGUGUCAUAACUUAUUUUUAAGAUAGUAAAUAUUUUAUUUUCAUAUGUGGAACUAUAUGUUGGUGCUGCUUUAGGUUGUUUUCUUCCCCCACCCCCCAAAAGUAAAUUGUUUUAGUCAGUAUUAGGGUUGAUUUUUGUAGUUGUUAAAAUACCUUCAUUUCCUUUUAUGAAGACAUAAUGAAGAAAGUGAAAAGGCAGGCCACAGAAUGGAAGAAGAUAAUUGCAGUACAUGUAACUAAUAAAGGAUUUAUAUAUAGUAUAUAAAGUACUUUUAUAAAGCAGCGAGAAAAAGCCCAUUUAAAAAAUGGGGAAAAAUUUUGAAUAGGCACUUAUCAUAAGUGCCUUAUCACUUAGCUUGAUCAUCAGUAAACGUUUUUUUGUUUUUUUUUUUUUAAAUUUUCUUUUGUAGAGAUGGGGGUCUCACUGUGUUACCUGGGCUUAAGCGAUUCUCCCACCUUGGCCUCCCAAAGGGCUGAGAUUAUAGGCAUGAGCCACCAUGCCCGGUCCCUAAUCAUUAAUCAACUAUUUAAAAAGUGUUCAACCUUAUUUGUCCUCAGGAAAUGCAAAUUAAAUCACUUCUUAACUAGAAUGGCUAAAAUUAAAAAGGCAACAGUGUAAGUGGUCAAGGAUUUGAAACAGUGGGGACUCACUGCGGACAAAAGUGUAAAUUGGUACAACCGUUUUUGGAAAGCUGUUUGGUAAUAUCUGUUGAAGUUGAAUGUAUUUAUACUCUUCUUGAUAUAUAACAGAAAUGCACACUUAGAAGACACAUGCGAGAAUGUUGAUAGAGCAUUAUUUGUAAUAGUGAAAAACUGGAAACUAUCCAAAUAUCCACCAGGAGUAAAAUGGAGAAGUAAAUUGUGGUAUAGUCAUUCAGUGGAAUCGUCUACAGCUGUGUUACCCAAAGUGUGCUGCAUAGAUCAGCUGCAUCUGCAACACCUGAGAAUUUACCAGAAAUGCGGAAGUUUAGGCCCCAACUCGGAUAUUACACAGAAUCAGAAUCUACAGUUUAACAGGAUCUCCAGGUUAUUCUUAUAUAUAAUAAAAUUUGCAAACACAGCUUUAGUAAUUCUUGAAAUUGGUCCUGGACCAGCAUCAUCAGUAUCACCUCAUCAGCAUCAGUGGUGGCUGACACCUGUAAUCCCAGCACUUUGGGAGGACAAGGCAGGAGGAUUGCUUGAGCAAACCUUGCUUUGCAAGGCCAAGGCUGGGCUACAUAGUGAUAUCCUGUUGCUACAAAAAAUUAAAAAAUUUGGCAGGCGUGGUGGCACAUGUCUGUAGUUCCAGCUUCUCAGGAGGCUGAGGUUAGAGGAUCUCUUGAGCCUGGAGGUUGAGGCUGCAGUGAGCCAUGAUCACACCACUGCACUCCAGGCUGGGCAACGGAGUGAGACCCUGUCUGCAUCCUGCCAACCUUUUUUUUUUUUUUUUUUUUUUUAAAGAGCAAAUUCUCAGAUCCAACCUCAGACCUACUAACUCAGAAGCUCUGUAGAUGGGGCCUAGCAGUCUGUGUUUUCAAGCCCUCCAGGUGAUUUGGAUACAACCUGAAGUUUGGAAAUCUGGGUAGAAUUUACAUUUCUAACAAGUUGGCAGGUGAUGCCAAGUCAGGAACCACACUGAGAUGCCCUGCUUGCAGGGUUAGCCAUACACUCUGAAAAGCUCCCGAUAGUAGCCGGGUGCCAUGGCUCACCCCUGUAAUCACAGCACUUUGGGAGGCUGAUGCGGGUGGAUCAUGAGGUCAGGAGUUUGAGACCAGCCUGUCCAAGAUGGUGAAACCCCAUCUGUACUAAAAAUACAAAAAUUAGCUGGGCGUGGUGGCGCACACCUGUAGUCCCAGCUACUUGGGAGGCCGAGGCAGGAGAAUCGCUUGAACCCAGGAGGCAGAGGUUGUGGUGAGCUGAGAUCGUGCCAUUGCACUCCAGCCUGGGCAACAAGAGAGAAACUCUGUCUUUAAUAAAAAAAAAAAAAAGCUCCAGAUAGUAAAUAUUUUAGGUUAUGUAGACGUUCUGGUCUCUGUCACAGCUGCCCAACUCUGCUGUGGUACUAGGAAAACAGCCAUAAACAGUAUGUACAUGAACAGAUAUGGGUAUUUACCAAUAAAACUUCACAGAAAUAGCCUUCAGGCUGGAUUUGUCUCAUCUCUGGGGACCUUUGCUCUAUAGCAAUGAUAAUAAAUAGACCAUGCACAAAACAUGAAAGAAUCUUAAAACGUGUUGCAUAAUGUCAGACGCAGAAAGUUAAUACACAUGAUUAGAUUUUUAGAGUUCAGAAGCGGGCAGAACAAAUCUUUGCUAUUAGAAAUUAUGAGAGUGCUGGGGGAUGGUGGUGGUUAUGAUUGGAAUACGGCAUGAGGGCCUUCUGGAGUGCUCAGAAUGUUUUGUUUCUUGAGCUAAAGAAAGAAUGAUUCAGGCUGGGCGUAGUGGUUCAUGCCUGUAAUCCCAGCACUUUGGGAGGCCAAGGUGGGCAGAUCACUUGAGGCCAGGAGUUCAAGACCAACCUGGCCAACACGGUGAAACCCCAUCUCUACUAAAAAUACAAAAAUUAGCCAGGCGUGAUGGUGCAUGCCUGUAAUCCCAGCUAUUUAGGAGGCUGAGGCAGGAGAAUAGCUUGAACCUGGGAGGUGAAGGUUGCAUUGAGCCAAGAUCGCGCCACUGCACUCCAGUCUGGGCAACAGGGUGAGACUCCUAUCUCAAUAAAAAAAAAAAGAAAGAAUGAUUCACACUCCUAUAGUGAAAUUUGAACCUCAUGGUAAGUAAUUUAAGACAUUUAAGAAAUACUAAAUGAAUAGAUAUAUUAUGGAAGAAAACUUGAAAUUUGUGUGAAUUUUAAAAAUACGGGUUUCAAAGUCAAAUAGACUUGUAGAGAAUAAGAUUGUUCUUUGACAUCUAGGGUCCUUUGGAUAAAUUUGAGAAAUAUUAAAGAUUUAUAAAGAUACAUGGAAUUUCCUUUGUCUCUUUAAGAAAUAAAGCACUGAUCACUCAAACCCUUUUUGAGUGAUUAUAUGCCCCAUCUCUGUGUUUCUUCACAUUAAUUGUAUUAAUUUUUUCCCUCUUCUUAAUUUGGUUUGUCUUAGUGUAUUCAUGCUUGCUUUAUCUUUUUCCUGAGAGUGGUCAUUUAUACUUUUCGGUUGAUGGUCAAUUUAUUGGUGGUUGUCCUAUAUGCUUUGCUUAGGGCUCUAGUUUUCAAACUUUUUAGUCUCAGGAUCUGUUCACGUGCUAAAAAAUUCAGGACCUUGAGCUUUUGUUUAUAAAGGUUGUAGCUAUUGAUAUUUAUCAUAUUAGAAAUGGAGGAAUAAAUAAAUCACUGACAAAUAAUAAACCGAUUACAUGUUAACAUGUAUAACAAUUUUAACUGUAUAUGUACUUUUUUUUUGUUAUUGAGAUAGGAUCUCACUUUGUCACCCAGGCUGAAGUGCAGUGGCCUUAUCACGGCUCACUGCACCUUUGCCCUCAUGGGUUCAAGUAAUCCUCCCACCUCUCAGCCUCUUGAGUAGCAGGGACUACAGGUGCUCACCACCACACCCAGCUAAUUUUUGUAUUUUUUGCAGAGAUAGGGUUUUGCCCUGUUGCCCAGACUGGUCUCCAUCCAACUCCUGGGCUUAAGCCAUCUGCCUGAGUAUAUUUUCUAAAACAAAAUUGUGAGAAGACUAUCAAUAUUUCACGUUUUCUGCAAAUCCUUUAAUGUCUGGCUUAAUAAAACUGAAUUCACAUA